UGUCUUUUUGAAAUUAAUAUAAAGUUUGAUCUGCCCACUGAUUAAUAAUUGAAGGGCUGCAGUAUAUUGACUGUACAAAGGUAGCAUAAUCAUUAGUCAUUUAAUUGAUGACUUGUAUGAAGGAUUGGAUGAAAUAUAAUCUGUCUCUUAAUUAAUAAUAGAAUUUAAUUUUUUAAUUAAAAAGUUAAGAUGGUUUAAAAAGACGAGAAGACCCUAUAGAGUUUAAUAAAUAAAUUAUUUGAUAUUAUUUAUAAUUAUAAAAUUGAAAUUAAUUUAUUUAUUUUGUUGGGGUGAUAAAAAAAUAUAAAAAACUUUUUUUUUUAGUUAACAUUUAUAAGUGAUUAAAUGAUCCAAUAUUAUUGAUUAUAAGAAUAAAUUACCUUAGGGAUAACAGCGUAAUUUUUUUUUUUAGUUCAUAUAAGAAAAAGAGUUUGCGACCUCGAUGUUGGAUUAAGAUAAAAUUUAAAUGCAGAAG
rnacentral:rRNA from 1 species